CACGUAGGAGGCGAGCGUUGUCCGGAAUCAUUGGGCGUAAAGAGCGCGCAGGCGGCUUGGCAAGUCGGGGGUGAAAGCCCGAGGCUCAACCUCGGAACUGCCUUCGAUACUGCGGGUCUCGAGUCCGGGAGAGGUGAGUGGAAUUCCUAGUGUAGAGGUGAAAUUCGUAGAUAUUAGGAAGAACACCAGUGGCGAAGGCGGCUCACUGGCCCGGUACUGACGCUGAGGCGCGAAAGCGUGGGGAGCAAACAGG
rnacentral:rRNA from 1 species